rfam:Trypanosoma brucei brucei strain 927/4 GTTat10.1 chromosome 10, whole genome shotgun sequence.
GAACGGUAACUCUCUGGAAACUCAUCCCCUCUUUUCUGUAGAUGUGUUUCCUCAUCGGUUCCCGGAGAAA